GUGCAGGUACUAUUCAUCAAUCACGUUAACAUGUCAUGUAAUCUAUCAUCAAGCAGUAGGCAAGCAUCAAGCUAGCAGACAGCAGCCCACCACACUCAUCUCUCUCUCUCUCUCUCUCUCUCUCUCUCUCUCUCUCUCUCAGCGUCGGGUGCCUCCUAGCCGAAAGGGCGACUCCAAGGCAAUCUCCGGUACCGCCGCCGGAUCCGCUAGCUUUCUCAACUCCGGUGGCCUUUUCAACGCCGGUGGGUUGAGGUCUUGAGGAAGCUGUGGAUCCGAUGGAGGGUGUAUAUAUCCCUUACUAUUGUAGUAGUUUCAGGGUUAGGGUUAGAGACUUUCCAAGCUUCUUCGGCAUCGACCAUGUUGGGUGAGUUUCUGUGUUGAUCCAUGGACAAGAGGAGCACAGCGACAAUAUCAUCUACAGGAGGUUUGGUAUUGGCGAUUUUUUUCUUUGUUUUGGCUAUUGUUCGAAGGAGAUUCCUUUUACUGGUGGAGUGUUUACCGGGUUUGUGUCCCUUCCUUGAGGUUAAGACUCCACUUGCUCAUGUAUAUGGGCAGGUGUCCUUGGAUCCCCUUUGUGGGAUUGCUGCUUGUUGGCCAGAGCAUACCGGUGUUACCAUUGGCGUCUGUUUCCGGUGAGAGUGGUUUUGUCCGGGACGUUCAACGUUUGAACAACACUGUGUGCUAUUGAUGGGCUUCAAAGACUCUUUGUCGAAUUGAGAAUCAGCCAAAAGCUUCAUUCUGGAUCUUCUUCAUUGCGGGAGAUGGAGGAGGUUCAGCCUGCGACAGCGAAGGUCGGUGACGAUGAAGGGCACUGGAUGCUCCUAUAAUGGUCUUAUGUGUAAUUUUUAUUUUCUUUCAGGGGUACCCAGUCAAGGGCUUGGUUGUAAGAGUUCUAUAUCAGUAAAAACCAACCCUUUCUUAAAAAAAGCAGACAUCAGCCCAUGCUCACAAGUCACAUGUCAGCGCACUGUAGGCAAGCGGCCGCAGAAAGCGAUUGAUGGGCCUUUUAGCUCUUGGGCCUCACACAUAUAUUGUAUGUUGGGUUUAUCCCAUAUUUUACAAAUUCGGGUAAGGGUUCAUCCCUCCCAAAUACCGGCGAGAUCAAGCCUUUCA
rnacentral:lncRNA from 1 species